rnacentral:rRNA from 1 species
GACGAACGCUGGCGGCGUGCUUAACACAUGCAAGUCGAACGGAAAGGCCCUGCUUUUGUGUUGUUCUCGAGUGGCGAACGGGUGAGUAACACGUGAGUAACCUGCCCUUGACUUUGGUAUAACUUCAGGAAACUGGGGCUAAUACCGGAUAGGAUCUCCUGCUGCAUGGUGGGGAUUGGAAAGUUUCGGCUGUUGGGGAUGGACUCGCGGCUUAUCAGCUUGUUGGUGGGGUAGUGGCUUACCAAGGCUUUGACGGGUAGCCGGCCUGGGAGGGUGACCGGCGACAUUGCGACUGCGGUACGGAGCAGACUCCAACGGGAGGCAGUAGUGGGAAACAUUGCACAAUGGGAGGACGUCUGAGGAAGAAACGCCGGGUGCGGGAUGACGGCCUUCGGGUUGUAAACAGCUUUAGCCUGUGACGAAGCGUGAGUGACGGUAAUGGGUAAAGAAGCACCGGCUAACUACGUG